GCCUCGGUGGUGUAGUGGUCAAGACGCUUGCCUGGUAAACAGGAGGGCGUGGGUGUAAUCCCAGCCGAAGUA
rnacentral:tRNA from 1 species